CUUUGCCCACCAGCGGACGGCUCAGUAACACGUGGACAACCUACCCUCAGGAGAGGGAUAACCCUUGGAAACAGGGGCUAAACCCUCAUAGAUCAUGGAUGCUGGAAUGCACCGUGGUUAAAAUUCCUUCGGGAGCCUGAGGAUGGGUCUGCGGCCUAUCAGGUUGUAGUGGGGGUAAUGGCCCCACUAGCCUAUGACGGGUACGGGCCCUGAGAGGGGGAGCCCGGAGAUGGACUCUGAGACACGAGUCCAGGCCCUACGGGGCGCAGCAGGCGCGAAACCUUCGCAAUGCAGGCAACUGCGACGAGGGAACUCCAAGUGCCUACGCUUAGCGUAGGCUGUUCUUAAGCCUAUAAAGCUUGGGGAGUAAGGGCUGGGUAAGACGGGUGCCAGCCGCCGCGGUAAUACCCGCAGCCCAAGUGGUGGCCGUUUUUAUUGGGCCUAAAGCGUCCGUAGCCGGUUUGGUAAAUGCCUGGGUAAAUCGUGGAGCCUAACUUCAUGAAUUCCGGGUAGACUGCCAUACUUGGGACCGGAAGAGGAAGAGGGUACU
rnacentral:rRNA from 1 species